GUAAGAUGUGCCUUUGCUCCUCUUUCGCCUUCUGCCAUGACUGUGAGGCCUCCCCAGCCGUGUGGAACUCCCCAGUUCCCCAGGACCUUGCAUAUGGCCUGCAGCUCCUCACUGUCCUCGUCGUAGGAGGCCAGCAGGAAGCCCCCGUACCGGCCAGCCCGCUUCCCCCGGCCCAGGACAUGAGGAAGAUCCACCUCAUGCCAAUGUGGAGUUGGAAAGAGAGGGACCUCGAAGAUAUCCUUGAAAGAAUCUUAAGGAACCUCAAGGGCCCUCACACCACACUUUGAGAACUGCUGCCCAAGUGUGGCCUCCUGGCCAUGUGACGUGGCAGAGUCGGAAAUGUAAGUCAGACUGGCAGCUGGCAGGCUCACACCCCACCCUGUCACCCCUCAGCUGCCCCUGCACAGGAAGCUGGAACUCACCUCUCCAUUGAGGUAGAUGAGGUCGAAAGCGUACAAACACACCUGCACCUGGAUCUCGGAUGCAUCCACCUCCUGGGUUGGGGCACAACGGAGUUCAUGAGUGUAGGAUGGUGAGAUGGGGCACUGUGUCUGAGGCCGACAGCAUUCAUCUACCGGUCUCCCUCUCGCCCCACCUAACUGGCUGCCCAUCUGUGAGGGCGGCCAUACUGCUGGCUCCAGGUGCUGGAUCGUAACGGCUCUCAGCUAAUUCCGACAACCUCAUUCCCCUUCACCAGAUAUCUGCUCUCCUAGCUUUUCUGCAGCUAAUGGCAGUGACGUGGCACAGUUCUGGCCAAUGAGAUGGAAAAGGGGAAACCUGUGGGGUGCAGGUUUUGGGGGUUUCCAGAACAGAUCUUUCAUAGUAAAACAACAGAGAUGCAGGAAAA
rnacentral:antisense_RNA from 1 species